rnacentral:rRNA from 1 species
UACGUAGGGUGCAAGCGUUAUCCGGAAUUAUUGGGCGUAAAGAGCUCGUAGGCGGUUUUUCGCGUCUGCUGUGAAAACUGGAGGCUCAACCUCCAGCCUGCAGUGGGUACGGGCAGACUAGAGUGCGGUAGGGGAGAUUGGAAUUCCUGGUGUAGCGGUGGAGUGCGCAGAUAUCAGGAGGAACACCGAUGGCGAAGGCAGAUCUCUGGGCCGUAACUGACGCUGAGGAGCGAAAGCAUGGGGAGCGAACAGG